rnacentral:lncRNA from 1 species
UUCCUGAUAAAAUAUUCGACAUUGUUUCCCCUCAUGCAUUUGCUGCUAUUCAGAUAUAUCUAAACAAUUAAAAAAGGCUUCCAAUUCAGUUAAAUCAGUUAAUUAUUACUUAUUUAUAUCUAUAAGCGAUCAAAUAAUUGUUGCUGACAAUUAUUGCACGAAUUGCCAGGAAAUCUUGCUGGAGCUAAUUUCUUUUUAAUUAAAUUUAGCGUGAAAUGGACAGUUACGAUGAUUUCACUUUUUGCCAGGUAUUUACACUGCAUUCAUUUAAUUACUUAUUCGAAUAAUUAAUUUCACUUUCUUGAAAUAAUUUUAAUUACUGGAGUGUUUCUGAGAUUAAAAUAUUUGUUGAAGAAUUUAGGCGGGAUUACCUGUUGAUAAAAAAUGGACUAGAGGCGAAGAAUCUUGCAUUGGAUAUUGGAGGUACAAGUAUCAAAGAUGGGUUUUCAAAUGGCACUAAUAGUAAUCAGGGCGGCGGUGGUAUUGUGUGGAGAGAUAAUUUGCCUAAUGAUGCUGAUUCCAAGAAUGAGAAAACUGUUGGUUCUUCGUUGUUCAAUAUUAUUUGAUGUGCCAGAUCGAGGACAGUCUAGACAAAUCCCAUCUGGAAAUGCUGGAACUUCGACUACUAAAUCCGAAGAAGAAAAGUUUCUGCUAGCAAGCCAGUGGCUCGAGCACAGGCUAAGCUUCUGAUGUGCCGUGAAUGAUUCGAAAAUCGGCAACAAUGAAUCUGACGAAAAUGGAUGAAGGAUGGGUCUGGUUGUGUUGUCUUUCUUUUGGUGUUUAGGCUGGAUUGUAGUGAUUUCAAGGUAAAUAAGAUGGAGGAUAGACUAGAAUGAUACUUUGAUAAGUCGAUCUGGACGCCACAAAGAUCAAUCUAGGAUUUUGACGCCACACUCUUUGUGAUUGAAGAGUGAUAAGUCAGGUAGGGUUCUUCACAAAAUCAAUUUGGAAGAACAACUCUUAAUUCUGUGAAUUAAGUUUCAAAUCU